rnacentral:rRNA from 1 species
UACGUAGGGUGCGAGCGUUACUCGGAAUUACUGGGCGUAAAGCGUGCGCAGGCGGUUUUGCAAGCCAGGUGUGAAAUCCCCGGGCUCAACCUGGGAAUGGCAUUUGGGACUGCAAGGCUGGAGUGCGGCAGAGGAGACUGGAAUUCCUGGUGUAGCAGUGAAAUGCGUAGAUAUCAGGAGGAAUACCGAUGGCGAAGGCAGGUCUCUGGGCUGACACUGACGCUCAUGCACGAAAGCGUGGGGAGCAAACAGG